rnacentral:rRNA from 1 species
CUAGUGAUUAGAGUUUGAUCAUGGCUCAGAUUGAACGCUGGCGGCAUGCUUUACACAUGCAAGUCGAACGGCAGCGGUCCCAUUUGGGAGCCGGCGAGUGGCGAACGGGUGAGUAAUGCAUCGGAACGUACCGAGUACUGGGGGAUAACCCAGCGAAAGCUGGGCUAAUACCGCAUACGCCCUGAGGGGGAAAGCGGGGGACCUGAGAGGGCCUCGCGGUAUUCGAGCGGCCGAUGUCCGAUUAGCUAGUUGGUGGGGUAAAGGCCUACCAAGGCGAUGAUCGGUAGCGGGUCUGAGAGGAUGGUCCGCCACACUGGGACUGAGACACGGCCCAGACUCCUACGGGAGGCAGCAGUGGGGAAUCUUGGACAAUGGGGGAAACCCUGAUCCAGCGAUGCCGCGUGCAGGAAGAAGGCCUUCGGGUUGUAAACUGCUUUCGGCCGGGACGAAAUUGCCUAGGCGAACAGUCUAGGUGGAUGACGGUACCGGAGGAAGAAGCACCGGCUAACUACGUGCCAGCAGCCGCGGUAAUACGUAGGGUGCGAGCGUUAAUCGGAAUUGCUGGGCGUAAAGCGUGCGCAGGCGGAUGCUUAAGCCAGACGUGAAAUCCCUGGGCUUUAACCUAAGGAAUGGGCGUUUGGAACUUGGGNCAUCUUAUAGUGUGGCAAAGGGGAAGUGGAAAUUCCUGGAGUAACGGUGAAAUGCGUAAAAAUUCAGGGAGUAACACCGUUGGCAUAAGGAAACUUCUGG